CCUCUAUCAUUGAUUCACUUGCAAAGAUCUCAAAGCACUCCUCUAUCAUUCAUCCUUUUACAUUAAUUUUUAAGUACUCCAUCCUCUAUCAUCCAUCCACCUGCAUAAAUUUCAAAGCAAUCCAUUCUCUAUCAUGCAUCCACUCCCAUAAAUCUCAAAAUAUUUCUUCCUCUAUCAUUUAUCGACCUGCAUAUAUUUAAAAACACUCCAUCC
rnacentral:lncRNA from 1 species